rnacentral:rRNA from 1 species
UACGGGGGGAGCAAGCGUUGUUCGGAUUUACUGGGCGUAAAGGGCGCGUAGGCGGCCACCGCAAGUCGACUGUGAAAUCUCCGGGCUUAACCCGGAAAGGCCAGCCGAUACUGCGGGGCUAGAGUGCAGAAGGGGCAACUGGAAUUCUCGGUGUAGCGGUGAAAUGCGUAGAUAUCGAGAGGAACACCUGCGGCGAAGGCGGGUUGCUGGGCUGACACUGACGCUGAUGCGCGAAAGCUAGGGGAGCGAACGGG